GAAAAGGAAGAUACUGGUUGAAGUAUCUCAUCUAUGUAUGCUUGCCUUGACAGAUCGAUGAGACCAAAUUGUUUGAGGAUUUCUUGUUAAUGCUAAAAGGGAAGGGAAUCUGUUCUUUAAGAAUCUCAAGCAACUACAGGGAAGGUGUGAAAACAGAUUUGUUUGUGCAGGUGAGUCCUGAGAAGGAUAUCAAACAUUAAAUCUAGAGAUGAACACAAAGCUGUGUAAGUAGGGCACGUGUAAAUAUAUUCUAGGAGAGGGUUAGAAGUCAUCUACCAUGAUACUAUAUUGGGACAAGGGGAUGGACAAUAUAAGAUCCUCUCAGCAUUUCUGAUAGCUGUGCAUUCAAUCAUGGUAUCUCUCAUAACUGAAUGCCUAAAACAUGUUCAUCUUCACAGGAACCUCCCUUGGCUAGGGAAUUCCUGUGUUACCUACUGGAAAGUAAAUCACAGUAUGUUACCACAUGAGGCAAUCCCAGUCCUAAACUCUGAGAUUCCUUCCUCUUUCUAAGAGGGAACACUGUAUUGUGAAAAAAGCAUUCAAACGUGAGCUGGUCAUAGUAUGAAUGCUACAAAGCAUUUCAACUAUGCUUAAAGACCAUCUCAAUUAGAAAAGACUGGAGUUAGAAUUCGUAGCAGUGGCAUUAUUUUAUUCUGCAUGUCUCCUAUAGAAAACCAUGUCCCAGUUCCCUCUGCUGUCUGCACCAUUUGACCUGUUCUUCUAAAUCCAACUGCCAUCACCUGGCCAAGAAAGCAGCAGAGAAGCCCAAGAACCUGCCUGCCACUUUCGGGUGGUCAAGGCCUCCAUCCAAGGAAAAUUCCAGGGGUGAGCCUUAGAGAGUAACCGAAAGCAGCAGCUGCUCAUUGACUGGGAGCUGGAUGAAAAUCCCUGCAGUCAGUCAACAGGCUGCCCCAGCUGGUCUGGCCUCACAGAGACAAGACCUCCAGAGCUGUCUGGGUGUGACCACAAUGAAUGGAGAAGGAAUGGUUUCUUCACCUGAAGAUUCAUCAUCUAAUCUAGCUUUGAUGACUUGCCACUGGAGGAGGAUAUACUUUGCUGUAUCAUCUUAUAUUUAUAAAAUGAUAGGUCCUGUGUUGGAGUGGCCCCUAGCUUGGGUUGGGACAUUCUCCUUUCACUUCUAACUUCAACUCAGAAAAUGGGCAAAAGUCUGGAUAAUAAACUUGUCAUCACAAACA
rnacentral:lncRNA from 1 species